UACGGAGGGUGCGAACGUUAAUCGGAAUUACUGGGCGUAAAGGGCGCGUAGGCGGCCAUCUAAGUCAGACGUGAAAUCCCCCGGCUUAACCUGGGAACUGCGUCUGAUACUGGAAGGCUUGAGUAUGGGAGAGGGAUGUAGAAUUCCAGGUGUAGCGGUGAAAUGCGUAGAUAUCUGGAGGAAUACCGGUGGCGAAGGCGGCAUCCUGGACCAUUACUGACGCUGAGGCGCGAAAGCUAGGGGAGCAAACGGG
rnacentral:rRNA from 1 species